CCUACGGGUGGCUGCAGUGGGGAAUUUUGGACAAUGGGGGCAACCCUGAUCCAGCCAUGCCGCGUGAGUGAAGAAGGCCUUCGGGUUGUAAAGCUCUUUCGGCCGGGAAGAAAUCGCUUCGGCUAAUACCUGGAGUGGAUGACGGUACCGGAAGAAGAAGCACCGGCUAACUACGUGCCAGCAGCCGCGGUAAUACGUAGGGUGCGAGCGUUAGUCGGAAUUACUGAGGGUAAAGCGUAAGAAGGAGGUGAAAUCCCCGGGCUUAACCUGGGAACUGCGUGUGAGACUGCGAGACUUGAGUGCGGCAGAGGGGGGUGGAAUUCCACGUGUAGCAGUGAAAUGCGUAGAGAUGUGGAGGAACACCGAUGGCGAAGGCAGCCCCCUGGGUCGACACUGACGCUCAUGCACGAAAGCGUGGGGAGCAAACAGGAUUAGAUACCCCAGUAGUC
rnacentral:rRNA from 1 species